UUUAAGAUUAGAUCUCAAAUCAGGUAGGACUACCCGCUGAACUUAAGCAUAUCAAUAAGCGGAGGAAAAGAAACUAACAAGGAUUCCCCUAGUAGCGGCGAGCGAAGCGGGAAGAGCUCAAAUUUAUAAUCUGGCACCUUCGGUGUCCGAGUUGUAAUCUCUAGAAAUGUUUUCCGCGUUGGACCGCACACAAGUCUGUUGGAAUACAGCGGCAUAGUGGUGAGACCCCCGUAUAUGGUGCGGACGCCCAGCGCUUUGUGAUACAUUUUCGAAGAGUCGAGUUGUUUGGGAAUGCAGCUCAAAUUGGGUGGUAAAUUCCAUCUAAAGCUAAAUAUUGGCGAGAGACCGAUAGCGAACAAGUACCGUGAGGGAAAGAUGAAAAGCACUUUGGAAAGAGAGUUAACAGUACGUGAAAUUGUUGGAAGGGAAACGCUUGAAGUCAGACUUGCUUGCCGAGCAAUCGGUUUGCAGGCCAGCAUCAGUUUUCCGGGAUGGAUAAUGGUAGAGAGAAGGUAGCAGUUUCGGCUGUGUUAUAGCUCUCUGCUGGAUACAUCUUGGGGGACUGAGGAACGCAGUGUGCCUUUGGCGGGGGUUUCGACCUCUCACACUU
rnacentral:rRNA from 1 species